rnacentral:rRNA from 1 species
AGUGAACGCUGGCGGUAGGCCUAACACAUGCAAGUCGAACGGCAGCACAGUAAGAGCUUGCUCUUACGGGUGGCGAGUGGCGGACGGGUGGGGAAUACAUCGGAAUCUACUUUUUCGUGGGGGAUAACGUAGGGAAACUUACGCUAAUACCGCAUACGACCUACGGGUGAAAGCAGGGGAUCUUCGGGCCUUGCGCGAUUGAAUGAGCCGAUGUCGGAUUAGCUAGUUGGCGGGGUAAAGGCCCACCAAGGCGACGAUCCGUAGCUGGUCUGAGAGGAUGAUCAGCCACACUGGAACUGAGACACGGUCCAGACUCCUACGGGAGGCAGCAGUGGGGAAUAUUGGACAAUGGGCGCAAGCCUGAUCCAGCCAUACCGCGUGGGUGAAGAAGGCCUUCGGGUUGUAAAGCCCUUUUGUUGGGAAAGAAAAGCAGCAGGUUAAUACCCCGCUGUUCUGACGGUACCCAAAGAAUAAGCACCGGCUAACUUCGUG